rnacentral:lncRNA from 1 species
ACAAACACAAAGGGAAAGAGGAGAGGCACCCGAUAUAUGUUCUCUAGGUCUUUUAGAAAAGAUGGAGUUGUUCCUUUGGCCAUGCAUAUGCGAAUCUAUAAGAAAGGUGAUAAUGUAGACAUCAAGGGAAUGGGUACUGUUCAAAAAGGAAUGCCCCACAAGUGUUACCAUGGCAGAACUGAAGGAGUCUACAAUGUUAACCAGCAUGCUGCUGGCAUUGUUGUACACAAGUUGAGGGCAAGAUUCUUGCCAAGAGAAUUAAUGUGUGUAUUGAGCACAUUAAGCACUCUAAUUAAUGUGUGUAUUGAGCACAUAAAGCACUCUAAGAGCCAAGACAGCUUCCUGAAGCACGUGAAAGAAAAUGAUCAGAAAAAGAAGCCAAAGAGAAAGGUACCUGGGUUCAACUG